AUUGAACGCUGGCGGCAGGCUUAACACAUGCAAGUCGAGCGGUAACAGAGAGUAGUUUACUAUUCUGCUGACGAGCGGCGGACGGGUGAGUAAUGCCUAGGAAUCUGCCUAAUAGUGGGGGAUAACUUGCCGAAAGGUAAGCUAAUACCGCAUACGUCCUACGGGAGAAAGGAGGGGACUCUUCGGAGCCUUUCGCUAUUAGAUGAGCCUAGGUCGGAUUAGUUAGUUGGUGAGGUAAUGGCUCACCAAGACCGCGAUCCGUAACUGGUCUGAGAGGAUGAUCAGUCACACUGGAACUGAGACACGGUCCAGACUCCUACGGGAGGCAGCAGUGGGGAAUAUUGGACAAUGGGGGAAACCCUGAUCCAGCCAUGCCGCGUGUGUGAAGAAGGUCUUAGGAUUGUAAAGCACUUUAAGUUGGGAGGAAGGGCAGUUAACUAAUAUUUGACUGUUUUGACGUUACCGACAGAAUAAGCACCGGCUAACUUCGUGCCAGCAGCCGCGGUAAUACGAAGGGUGCAAGCGUUAAUCGGAAUUACUGGGCGUAAAGCGCGCGUAGGUGGUUCGUUAAGUUAGGAGUGAAAGCCCCGGGCUCAACCUGGGAAUUGCUUCUAAAACUGGCGAGCUAGAGUAUGGUAGAGGGUGGUGGAAUUUCCUGU
rnacentral:rRNA from 1 species